GACGAACGCUGGCGGCGUGCUUAACACAUGCAAGUCGAACGGAAAGGCCCUGCUUUUGUGGGGUGCUCGAGUGGCGAACGGGUGAGUAACACGUGAGUAACCUGCCCUUGACUUUGGGAUAACUUCAGGAAACUGGGGCUAAUACCGGAUAGGAGCUCCUGCUGCAUGGUGGGGGUUGGAAAGUUUCGGCGGUUGGGGAUGGACUCGCGGCUUAUCAGCUUGUUGGUGGGGUAGUGGCUUACCAAGGCUUUGACGGGUAGCCGGCCUGAGAGGGUGACCGGCCACAUUGGGACUGAGAUACGGCCCAGACUCCUACGGGAGGCAGCAGUGGGGAAUAUUGCACAAUGGGCGGAAGCCUGAUGCAGCAACGCCGCGUGCGGGAUGACGGCCUUCGGGUGGUAAACCGCUUUCGCCUGUGACGAAGCGUGAGUGACGGUAAUGGGUAAAGAAGCACCGGCUAACUACGU
rnacentral:rRNA from 1 species